UAUCAAUGUCAAAUAGGUUUUUCUUAAAACAACUUUUUGCAAUGUAACUGCAGCAGCAUACUUGGAUGCAUUUUAUUUCAUUGUCACUCUUGCUGUGUUUGUAGAAACAAGUCAGUGGAAAGAUAUUACGUUUGAUAAUAUUGGUUUUAGUGAAAAUGAGGAUCUGUGUCGGUCAUACUGAUGUGUCCUUAGAACCUCCUUCGAGCGGGAACUGCGUGCCUGGCUGCGACUGUCACGACAUCUACACUGAUCAUACCUGUAUGAAAUAAACUGCACUGGAAAUGUCUACUGAAAUUACGUUUGAAAUGUGUAAAAAAUAAUUAGGUAUUUAGUUUAUGUUGUUAUUAACUUGGAGAGAGAAAUAAAAAGAACAAAUAAUGA